UGAAGUAUUGAGCCAACUGUGGGCAGGC
rnacentral:piRNA from 1 species